rnacentral:rRNA from 1 species
AGUGAACGCUGGCGGUAGGCCUAACACAUGCAAGUCGAACGGCAGCACAGUAAGAGCUUGCUCUUACGGGUGGCGAGUGGCGGACGGGUGAGGAAUACAUCGGAAUCUACUUUUUCGUGGGGGAUAACGUAGGGAAACUUACGCUAAUACCGCAUACGACCUACGGGUGAAAGCAGGGGAUCUUCGGACCUUGCGCGAUUGAAUGAGCCGAUGUCGGAUUAGCUAGUUGGCGGGGUAAAGGCCCACCAAGGCGACGAUCCGUAGCUGGUCUGAGAGGAUGAUCAGCCACACUGGAACUGAGACACGGUCCAGACUCCUACGGGAGGCAGCAGUGGGGAAUAUUGGACAAUGGGCGCAAGCCUGAUCCAGCCAUACCGCGUGGGUGAAGAAGGCCUUCGGGUUAUAAAGCCCUAUUGUUGGGAAAGAAAAGCAGCAGGUUAAUACCCCGCUGUUCUGACGGUACCCAAAGAAUAAGCACCGGCUAACUUCGUG